rnacentral:lncRNA from 1 species
AAAAAGAAAAAUGAAAAAAAUGGAGAAUAUCAUCUAAAAAAACUGCUUGUGUAUUGCUUUUUGAUUCUUUACAGAGUUUUUCUUCUCCCCUUACAGUAUUUUUAAGAUUUCUUUUAUAGCAAUCGUGAAACAAGAAAAAAUAAAAAAAAAUUUCUAGUAUCUGCUUGAUUCAAUUUCAAUAUUUUCUUGCCAUAUACUGCUUUGUUUCUUUUUUUGG